AUAUAUCAACCUCUACAACUUUUGUUUGUUGAGUUGUUGGAUGUGGGGGCUUUGCUGGCUUCUCUCUCUGAGGUCAGCUCCCCUGAAAUACAUUAGCGGAAUGAUCUCCGUUCAUUGGUGUGAUAACUAUCUACGCUAUUGACGUGAAGUACUUUGGCUUAUAACAGUCCAUUGACUUGGACAAAUUUUCAUUA
rnacentral:misc_RNA from 1 species